UACGGGGGGGGCAAGCGUUGUUCGGAAUUACUGGGCGUAAAGGGCUCGUAGGCGGCCAACUAAGUCAGACGUGAAAUCCCUCGGCUUAACCGGGGAACUGCGUCUGAUACUGGAUGGCUUGAGAUUGGGAGAGGGAUGCGGAAUUCCAGGUGUAGCGGUGAAAUGCGUAGAUAUCUGGAGGAACAUCGAUGGCGAAGGCAAUCACCUGGGCCUGAACUGACACUGAGACACGAAAGCGUGGGUAGCAAACAGG
rnacentral:rRNA from 1 species